UUUAAUAACAUAAACUUAAAUAAAAAAAGCUAAGAUACAAAAAUUAUUAUCAAAUAUGUAUUAUUCAUAAUCAUUAAUUGUCAUAUAUACUUUAACCAUAUUAGGCAAUUCCGUAGCGUUUAUUUAAGGAAAGUGCGAGAAUAUUAUUUUGUACACUAUUUAUCAAUUUAAUAGUUAGUUUAAUAAAAACUAUUAUAUGAGUUAAGAUGGACCAAUCUAUUUCUAUAAGAAUUUUUAAUUUCAUUCUCAUGGUGAUACGUGACUAUAAAACAAUAUUGUAAUGUUUCUCAAUUAAUAUAUAAGAGAUUAAUUGUAUUUUUUUUAUUAAAAGAGCUUGUGUGCGAGUACAUCAUAAUCACCAUUGCUCAUGCUCUCACUCUUCUCUUUCCUAGUUUAUUUAUUUUUAUUUAAGAACAUGAUCAAGAGCUCUCCAAUGUGGAUGUUCUAAGACCAUCAGCAAUGGAUGACCUCUUAGGUGAGUUUCUUAGGAAUUAGACAAUAAUAAAAAAAGUAGAGGAAAUAGAAGAGAAAAGUCCCUCACCGGAGAGCUUUAGAGUAUCAGCACUGGUUAAUUUCUCAAAUUUAAUUUUUGGGUGAUAUUAUAUUAGUGUAUAAAGAUGAUUUGCUUUUUGUAUUAAAAUUAAAUGUCUAAAAUUUUGAUGUACCACUAAAAUAAGGACAAUUGUAGAAUUACUUUCUCAAAUGCCUCUUUAAAAAGAGACGAUUCUCUCUAAUUUUAUCUACUUUCUUCUAUUUUUAACUUUUUAAUAAUAUUUUGGUUGAAAAUUAUGAGAAGAGCUCUCCACUAAAGAUGGCUUUACCGGUCAAGGUCCGUCUUUCAGUCUGGAUGAAUCUGUCCAGUUUUUUGGCUGAGGAUCGAGGCAGUGGAAGAGAACGGGUAUGAACUGAGGCUGAAAUGCGUCUUUUAGGUGUUGAGGCGAUUGAUAUCGAACUGAACUCGGAUUAUUGGAAGAUCAACUGCUUGUUCUCUAUAUUAUAAGUCAGUUUACGUUUCAUUGUCCGUUUGUUUGACACUGUUUUCGCAUCGUGUGGUCUAAGUUAGGGUUUAAGAGACGGUUCAUUCCGAGUAGUGGGAUGAUCUUGUUCUCGUAGUGGUGAAAAAUGUAAUAUCGGAUUGAUUCGGGUAACGUAGGAUCCUAUAAGUAUUCCUAGGUGAUACUAGAUCACGAUAUUGUAUGCGGGGUGAAAAUCGUGUAAGAGCACUUCCCACGUGAAUGUUUAAAAGAAAUUCUUACUAUUUAAAAUAAAUGAAAAUUUACAAAUUAAGAGAGAGAAU